GAUGAAGAACGUAGUGAAAUGCGAUAAGUAAUGUGAAUUGCAGAAUUCAGUGAAUCAUCGAAUCUUUGAACGCACAUUGCGCCCUCUGGUAUUCCGGGGGGCAUGCCUGUUCGAGCGUCAUUAUAACCACUCAAGCUCUCGCUUGGUAUUGGGGUUCGCGGUUUCGCGGCCCCUAAAAUCAGUGGCGGUGCCUGUCGGCUCUACGCGUAGUAAUACUUCUCGCGAUUGAGUUCGAUAGGUCUACUUGCCAGUAACCCCCAAUUUUUACAGGUUGACCUCGGAUCAGGUAGGGAUACCCGCUGAACUUAAGCAUAUCAAUAAGCGGAGGA
rnacentral:misc_RNA from 1 species